GGUCGAUUAGCUUAGUUGGUAGAGCGUGGUACUAAUAACUUGGUCUCCCAAGUGGUAGAUGCCAAGGUCAUGGGUUCGAGCCCCAUAUGGACCA